UGCCAUUUUCUUGUAGAAUUUCAUCCUCCUAGGAAUUAGCAUUCCAAUGUCCAAAUGGGUGACUAAAUAUAUAAAGACCAAUGAUAUGGCUCAAAUUCAUUGUCCCAAAAAUCUCUUCCAACAACUCAGCCUACUAAAUUGAAUGAUGAUGUGUGUUCAAUGAAAUCAAUGAUCAAUUAAAUCUCUGGAUAAUCAAUAAUCAGUCAUAGCUUGGUGUGAGCUCAAUCCACCCAAAAAGAAAUAUUGUAACUAGCUAGAAGAUAAGAAAAGCACUCAAAUCAUAGUGCACAUGAAAUAGAAUAUCCUCACCAUCCUGAUCAGUGG
rnacentral:lncRNA from 1 species